AACCCUUCUGAUAGAGAUCAAGGAAAACCAUCAAGUGCUCUAGAGAACGCCUUUCCCCUUUUGCAAGUCCUCUUCUCCGUGUUCUCCUGCUGCAUGCAUUCAUUACUCCUCUGCUUUUAUUUUCUGCAUCCACAGCUCGCUGCUCUAUCCUGCUACCUUUGUUAUUGCUUUGCAUAAGUUCAUAUCUAGGUUCUACCUCCUUUAUGCUAAAUCUUUGUUUUUUGCCCUUAUUUAUGCUGUGAGCUCUAAACUAUAUUUGUUAUUGUCAUGCUUAGUGUUAGCUUUGAAUAUUCAGUGUAUAGUGUCUUCAAGUGAUGUGCUUGCACAUUUAACGAAUAAGAAGAUUCUUUGCAACCGAAAAUUAAGAGGAAAACUGCUUCCUUAUCAGUAGAAGAAAAAGAAGCUAAACAGAGGGGAGCUUAUCAAAAGAGGAAAGCAAGGAAAGCUGCAUCGACGCCUUCUAUGAACCAACAACAAAGUAAGAAGGGUAUCUAAUUCAGUUUUGCCGGAAAUGAAAGCUGUAGUAUGAAUGUUUAGUGCUUCGCCUUUAUAUUGAUUUCUUGAGAUUUCUGCUUAACUAGCUUAAUGGUGAUUAAAGCUCUUUAUGUGUAAAUUCAGAGCAAACUUCUGUAAGAAAUAUAUACAAAUGGAGAAGAGCAUAAAUGUUUAGUAUUUUGCCUUUAUCUGAAGGUCUUGAGUUUACUGCUUCGCUGCCUUAAUACUGGAUUAAAAGAAAUCUUUAUGUGUCAAUUCAAAACAAAAUCUGUGAGAGAUGCAUACGAAUGGAGAAGAGCUUCCAGUUAUUGUGGAAAGUCCGCACCAAUAAUGCCUAGAUAUGCCUUGCGCUUGAAAUAACUGCGAUAUGUUUUAUACUUGUUCCUGCUUAGUUGUUGUCUCUUAGUCUUGUGUUACUUUGAGAGUUCAUGUUUUCUUCUAUUGAUUUCUGGUUACAUAUUUAUAACUGCAUUCUGUAAUUCAAUUUGGGCUUAAAGAUACGGCAUCCAGGCUUUCUACAAGCUAUGUAAUCCUAAAUUCUAUCUUAAAUCACAUGUGUCCAAACAUCUGAGACGUUACCAUGUCUACAUCUUCCUUGCCAGCUACCACUCCUUUACUUACACAAGCUUCUGAAGCCACUAGCCCUUCUGAGCCAAUUUCUAUCUAUUACCACAUACUUGCCAACCUUUCAUCUUCUCCAGAGGCCUUAACAAUAAAGGAGCAGCCCAUCUCCAAUCUCACUGAUUUGCUUAGACAGGAAAAUAAGGCAAAAAAACUUAAUAACCUUCUGACACAACUUCAGCCCUUCUUUUCCUUGAUCCCCAAAGCAAAAAGUCCAAAAUUGUUCGUGGAAUUCUUGAUACGCUGGCCAAACUACCUGGCACAUCUAAUCUUCAGAUUGCCCUAUGCAAGAAAAUUGUACAAUGGACGCGUAAUGAGAACCAAAAUUUCCUUUGUCUGUGCACUGAGGCAAAACUCGCAGCUCUUUUGAUGGAGAACAAAGAGUAUUCUGAAGCUUUGGCUCUCCUUUCUGGACCAAUCAAUGACGCGAGAAGAUUAGAUAACAAGUUGCUUCUUGGAGACAUUCACUUGCUAGAAAGGAAGCUUCAUUUCUCUUUCAAGAAUCUACCUAAAGCCAAAGCUGCACUUACAGCUGCAAGAACAGGCUCUUAUUAUGUUUUCAGUUACACAGUUGCUCGAGUAGUUCUGUAUUUCGCCAGGAGUGUCCAACUAUUUCGCCGUGGUUGAUCUCAAAAGGUUUCAAGGUUGAAAAUGGCCUAACAAGAAAAGGAAGCUUGCCCAUUGAAAAGCAUCCUGUUGAAUAACUUAUGCCUUGUAGACAUUUCCUAUCAGCUUAGCAUUGAGUUGAGCUUAUGCUUCAUUUAGGAUGCAGAUAAUGUGAAAUCUAGAAUUGAUGGGGAUUAUUUAUUUAAAUAGCACAAUAUGCAUAAAAUAACAAUUUUCAAGUUGUAUCAGUCCAGUACAAGUGUAGCUUAUACUUUUACAAAUGUCCUUACAGUAUGUUCAAGAAGCAGAGAAUAAUAAAUAUCCUAAUAGUAAAUCUAUAUUACUAA